AUUGAACGCUGGCGGCAGGCCUAACACAUGCAAGUCGAACGAGUGGCGGACGGGUGAGUAAUGUCUGGGAAACUGCCUGAUGGAGGGGGAUAACUACUGGAAACGGUAGCUAAUACCGCAUACCAUCGGAUGUGCCCAGAUGGGAUUAGCUAGUAGGUGGGGUAAAGGCUCACCUAGGCGACGAUCCCUAGCUGGUCUGAGAGGAUGACCAGCAGCACUGGAACUGAGACACAGGCCAGAUUCCUACGGGAGGCAGAAGUGGGGACUUUGGCACAAUGGACGCAAGCCUGAUGCAGCCAUGCCGCGUGUAUGUAGAAGGCCUUCGGUUUGUAAAGUACUUUCAGCGGAGAUGCGUUACCCGCAGAGGAAGCCCCGGCUAACUCCGUGCCAGCAGCCGCGGUAAUAC
rnacentral:rRNA from 1 species